rnacentral:tRNA from 1 species
AGGGUAAUAGCUCAGUGGUAGAGGGCUUGCUUAGCAUGCACAAGGUCCUGGGUUCAAUCCUCAAUAACUCUA